ensembl:lncRNA
GUAAGAGAAAACAUUGCAUAAGCCUUUAUUGAUCCCAACAGCAAGCGCUGAUGAUUCCUUCAGUUCUAGUACGAUUGGCGAUGGUGAGGCUUCCUUCAGUUCUGGUACAAUUGGCGAUGGAGAGCCUUCAUCAGGAUCUGAUGACACAGCAAUAGUGAUCAGAAAUCCCUCAGAAAAAAGACAUGAAGAGGACCGUCGUCUGGGUCGAGUAAGAUCAAUAGAUUGUUUAUGUCCUUUUUGUAACUUUGUUGCAACCAUAUAUAUGCUCUUGUUAAUCUGUGUACUCUGUGUGUUCUCUGUGUACCUGUCAAUUGUCAAUCACCUCUCCCAAGAUGAUUGAGGACAUCCUCAAGAGUAGCCCUGGAGCACAAGCCCCCCUAGGAGAUUGAAGGAGGAAUACGCCAAAGGAAUCAUCUGCCUUUUUCCUUACUUGGCUGACCCCCGGAGCAAGCUUGGCUAUGAACAUUUUUAUAAUGCUGAAGAUGGAAGUGGGUAUUUGGCUUGGAGAAUCAAAACUCUGCAGAAAGAGGUGUCCGAGGGGCGAAUGAAACGGUCACGACAACUUCAAACAGGCCAGUGAUUAAUUUGGAACUUGACCACUCGUUUAUUUGGUCUAGGUUUUCUUUUGAGUAUUAAACUGGCAUGUUGUCCCAAACCUUUAGGUGAGCCAACUUCACACAGGGAUCCAUUGAAAGAAGACAUCCAAUGGGACGAACAGCAGUGUCAAGAAGCAAUUGCCCUGAUGAAGCAUUCUACGGAUGAAGUUGUAGUGAAGGAGAAAAUGAGGCUAACCCUGGCCUAUCGUCAGAAGUUGCUGCACGAUCCUGAGAACUCAGCCGACAUCCUAUCUGUUUUUCCUCGUUUCUUGGACAUUCCAGGUUUGAUUGUUCAAGAUUUCAGGAGUCUUUUUGGUGACGCAACCUCUGCAAAGAUGUUGGAAAAGUGGACCACCAACUUUCAAGCAAAGGUUGUAACUCAGUGUCGUGGGCUUACACUGACUGGAGAUGUACAAGACCUCAUCCAAAAUGCUGAAGCCACUGAAGCUGGGACAGUGACAUGUCAUCAAUGCUGUUGCUGGUUCACCUUCUGCCACCUUCAAGCCAAGGCGGAAAAAAAACCAGGGAAAAUCUCAGCCAGACAAGCAUGCGACAGUCUUGUAAAAUUCAUCAAGAUUGGGACCAGCAUCCAAGGACACCUGGACAACAUCUCUGGGAGUCUCCAGCCAUACCUACUUGCUGUUGGUGCCAAGAAGAGCAUGAUCGAGUCUUACUACAUCGUGAUCGACAAACAUGCUCUACCCUGUAAGACCUCAACUUCAUUGGCUUGUGUUGAUGAACUUUUCAAAGCACAUUUCGUCUUUGGCACAAGAUACUGUCAGGAAUUGACCAAUGUGUACACCUUUCUGCAAACCACUGUCUAUGACAUAGAUGUGGAAAACACCAAGGUAAAUCCUAGAGUUGCAGAGUUGAGGGCCAGGAUGCUGAAGUAAACUCCUAUGAUCUGCUUCAUUUGUCUUUGUCCCGGAAAAACUCUCAGGUUAAAAUGUGCUCAAAGGGGUUGUGCACAUGUAUAUAAUAGUUUUUCUGGAUUACGAAAGCAUCUCACUAAGUGUUCUUUGCGUGACAGUUCAAGUGUUAAUGAAAGUUCAUCUUCAGCAUAGGAGUGGAGAAUGAGAUGCCUGUGUUUCAUGUAGUCCAGAAUAUUGUUGUAAGAGAUUAGUGUUCUUUUUAUAACGACUGCUAUGAAAACUCUUUAUUUAGAGGAACAUGUCCAUGCUUUCAAGGUUAUGCACACCACAGAAGCACCCAUUGUUUUGGAAUUUAAAGACCUUUUGCACCACAAGUCUUCUGAUUUUUUUUAUGUGG